rnacentral:lncRNA from 1 species
CUUUAAUGUGGCAUAUAAAGAGCUUAGGGUAAUUCUAACCCUAAACUGUGGAUCCAGAGUAUGGCUUGAAGGCAUAUUAUCUUUGAAAACACAAGUGUUCUAUUGAGUUCAAUGGAAUCUUUUCUAAUUCUCAGUAACAUAAUCCCUUUGGAUGUUUAUUCACAAUUCAAACUGUUGGAAUCAACAUUGUCAACUUUUACCCUGACAACUUGCUUACUUUCUACUAAACAAACUUACCCUAGAGAAGAGCCUCUUUCCUGCUCUUACUUCUCCCAAGCUGCUUCAAAGAGUCCUCAGGCGUUUUCCACAUUUUUCACCCAAAUGCCUGUGCAGAGUGGUACCUUGCAGCAGACAGAGCAUUUGGUAUGCCCUGGUUUGUUUACAUGAAAGUUCAAAAGGUUUUGGUUCCAGGUGUUGGGAAGACAUGGAGUCAUUUCAGUGUAGCACCAAUGGUAAAACUAUUUUAAUGUCCUUUAACUAAGUCUUUGAUUUUACACAGUGUGGUUUUCUAAUUGUUAUGAAGUUUAAUCCUUGAUUUCUUGUAUAAAUCUUGAGAACAUGGUCUCCAGACAGCUAAACAUAAUAUUUAAACAUAACUAAACUAAGUUUUGUAAAUAUUUCCCUUUUCGGUGAUGAAUGUAUAUUGGUAAGGAGGGUGAGGUUGAAGGGGCAGGGACCUCAAACGAAGUGACUUUCUUUACCAACACAUUUAGAACACCUACUCUAGGAUUUCUACUUGGUGAUGAUCUACUUAUUUUGUGUAAGUCUGGCAUAAUGUGUGAAAUAUUUGCAAUGAAAGUAUUUAUAUGGGAAUAUGAUGAGGAAACUGGGUCACUAAAAUCUAAGAAAACAUGAGUUUUUCAAACCCUUCUUCCCCCCUAACCUAGGUAUUUACGGAAUUUCAUAUAUAUAAGGAGAAGUGUGUGAUUGUUUCCUGGUCAGCUUGAGGCAUAUUCUUUAUUUUUAAGACGAGCCAACCAAGAUUUCAAUAUAGUAAAAAAAUUAAUAAUGUGUUUGCAAUGUCAGAUGGUUAAAAGCAUGUCCUCCACCUCACAAGCAACUCCUCACUGUUAGGUGUCCCACCCUCAGCUGACAUGACUCUCAGCUGCUAAGGUCAGAAGCAUGUGUUCAAUUCUACAUUUUAACUAAUAAUUCCUUUUAAACAGAUAAGGGCAAGUGAUAUUCCAGCUUUAAAAGUCUUCUAAUCACUUACAAAAAGGAGACAAUUCUAUAGUCCUUGGUGAUAACCUAGUUAAUAGAAAGUAAUAAAAAAAUCCUAAACUUUAUCUUAUUGAAAUAUUUCUUUUUACAUCAUAUUUUUUAGAAAAGUAGAUUGUUUUUAUGUGUUUCUACAUGGUUUUAGAUUUGUUUUAAUGUUCUCAUGUGAAUGAUUUACCUGGUUUUAAAAAUAAUAUUAGAUUCACCUAACUUAGGGAGUUUUUGAAAUAAACUCUAAGGUUACUGGAAGGUGAUGGAACUACUGGAAUUAUUUUAAAUGGCUAUGAGCCAUGUGCUGCACUUGAUGGCAUGGAUAUGUAUGCUUGUCCUGAAGAUCCCUGAGUAUGAGAGUGUUGUCCCUGUGCAUGUCAUUAAAAGAG